GUCUUGGAGAAUCUCCCCUAGUUUAUCCUACAAUACUGGACAUGAAUACUAUUUGAAGUGGAGGUUAAGGCUGACACACCAGGAAGACAGUGGAGGUUAAGGCUGACACACCAGGAAGACAGUGGAGGUUAAGGCUGACACACCAGGAAGACAGUGGAGGUUAAGGCUGAGACACCAGGAAGACAGUGGAGGUUAAGGCUGACACACCAGGAAGACAGUGGAGGUUAAGGCUGAGACACCAGGAAGACAGUGGAGGUUAAGGCUGAGACACCAGGAAGACAGUGGAGGUUAAGGCUGAGACACCAGGAAGACAGUGGAGGUUAAGGCUGAGACACCAGGAAGACAGUGGAGGUUAAGGCUGACACACCAGGAAGACAGUGGAGGUUAAGGCUGAGACACCAGGAAGACAGUGGAGGUUAAGGCUGACACACCAGGAAGACAGUGGAGGUUAAGGCUGACACACCAGGAAGACAGUGGAGGUUAAGGCUGAGACACCAGGAAGACAGUGGAGGUUAAGGCUGACACACCAGGAAGACAGUGGAGGUUAAGGCUGAGACACCAGGAAGACAGUGGAGGUUAAGGCUGAGACACCAGGAAGACAGUGGAGGUUAAGGCUGAGACACCAGGAAGACAGUGGAGGUUAAGGCUGAGACACCAGGAAGACAGUGGAGGUUAAGGCUGACACACCAGGAAGACAGUGGAGGUUAAGGCUGAGACACCGGGAAGACAGUGGAGGUUAAGGCUGAGACACCGGGAAGACAGUGGAGGUUAAGGCUGACACACCGGGAAGACAGUGGAGGUUAAGGCUGAGACACCGGGAAGACAGUGGAGGUUAAGGCUGAGACACCGGGAAGACAGUGGAGGUUAAGGCUGAGACACCGGGAAGACAGUGGAGGUUAAGGCUGAGACACCGGGAAGACAGUGGAGGUUAAGGCUGAGACACCGGGAAGACAGUGGAGGUUAAGGCUGACACACCGGGAAGACAGUGGAGGUUAAGGCUGACACACCGGGAAGACAGUGGAGGUUAAGGCUGACACACCGGGAAGACAGUGGAGGUUAAGGCUGACACACCGGGAAGACAGUGGAGGUUAAGGCUGAGACACCGGGAAGACAGUGGAGGUUAAGGCUGAGACACCGGGAAGACAGUGGAGGUUAAGGCUGAGACACCGGGAAGACAGUGGAGGUUAAGGCUGAGACACCGGGAAGACAGUGGAGGUUAAGGCUGAGACACCAGGAAGACAGUGGAGGUUAAAGCUGAGACACCAGGAAGACAGUGGAGAUUAAGGCUGAGACACCAGGAAGACAGUGGAGGUUAAGGCUGAGACACCGGGAAGACAGUGGAGGUUAAGAGA